AAAACUCAAAUGAAUUGACGGGGGCCCGCACAAGCGGUGGAGCAUGUGGUUUAAUUCGAUGCAACGCGAAGAACCUUACCUGGUCUUGACAUCCACAGAAGAAUCCAGAGAUGGAUUUGUGCCUUCGGGAACUGUGAGACAGGUGCUGCAUGGCUGUCGUCAGCUCGUGUUGUGAAAUGUUGGGUUAAGUCCCGCAACGAGCGCAACCCUUAUCCUUU
rnacentral:rRNA from 1 species